UGUAAGACCGAAUUCUCUGCUACAAUAUUGAACAAGGAAGAGGUAUCAGCAACGGGAAAGGAGUGUGUUGAUCUUGGAGGAGACAGUGACCUUCCUAAUACGUAAAAAAGGACAUGGCUGGCUGGGUCAUGUAAUGUAAGACCAAAUUAUCGGCAACUAGAUUGAACAAGGAAGAGGUAUCAGCGAAGGGAAAGGAAUGUGUUGAUCUUGGAGGAGACAGUGACCUUCCUAAUAUGUAAAAAAGCACAGGGCUGGCUGGGUCAUGAAAUGUAAGACCAAAUGUCUGCAACUAUAUUGAACAAGGAAGAGGUAUCAGCUUAGAUCCUGAUAAUUUUCCCUGUGUGGAUACCAUACAACAGGUCCACUCAGCCCUACAGUGGUGUAUUCAGCUUCUUCCCUCUCCUGACUACUGAUGCGAGACUGUAUUCCACUCUGAAAAUCAGCUCGGAUAUGUCCUGUGUCUGCAAGACAAGCCAAUACAAGUCUAUGGAGGGGAGAGGAAGGAACUUCAUUCACCAGCCAUGGGAGAACUAAAAAUUAAACAUAAAGCCUGCAGAGCAGAAAUCUGUUGAAUAUACAAGUCACAUAAUGUCCAGAAAUAAGGCUGUUCCUCAUGUACACACACAGGGCAGCGCAUCCUGAAGAGUCACCUGGAAUGACAGAUAUUCACUGGACUCGUAAGCAGCCUGAGAUGCCGUACUUGAUUACAAACAAUCUGUAAAUGCAAAUUCUUCCUGUUUAGCGCCCAACGUGUUUCUCAUUAAAGCG